UUCGUGUGGUCUGCUGAUAUAAGGGCACAAUCUCGCAUUUGACUAACGGCCGGUGUCAAUGGAUUUCAACACCGACGGGGAAAAACUUUUUUUAUGCAAUCGGACUUUUUUUUAACAAAUUGAUAAAAUGAACAUGGUGUUCAUUUUGUUUUUAACAAUCUCUAUGGUGUUAAGCCCAUGUUUCAAUUGACUGUUUAAAAAGGUUGAUGUAAUACAUCAUCGAUGUUUAUUUAAUACUAAAUCGAUGUUUUGGUCGAUUGUUAUUGAAAUGUAAAGUGUCAGUAAGCUUAGAUAUUUUUUUAAAUCUUUGACACAUAAUUUAAACAAUAAUAACUUAAACAAAAUAUAUCUAAAAAAUGGUUCGGGUAUGAAAACAAAAUUAAAAAUAGGAAAAAUAAAAAAAAACCUAAAAUAUAUAUAUAUAUAAAAACCCAACAAAAAUAUUAUUUAAAAAAAAGGUUAGAAAUCCAGCUUUCAUGCCUGUUAAUCAAAUCCAUUAUCCACGAGCCACCAACAACCGCAGAGCGCCAUAGCCCGCUUAUAAUAUCAUUAAUAAUCAUUAGAUUUGAGUACAAGGUGGUGGCCUUUUUCUUGGAUUUGCCGGGUAGCUGUUAUUUUUUAAAAGACGAGCAUGGCCCGCAUGGGUUGGAGCAGGAUUUGGCAUCGGCGUCGCAUAUAGGACAUGUCAAAAAGAUUUGAAUCCCAUGAAAAUUUAAAUAAACCACUUAUUAUUGACUGACUGCUUUUAUAAUUACUCAGAUAAACAGCUGCUUUUUGAAAUUUGCCCGAACACAUAUUCGUAGAAGGACCACGGCGAUAUUGCUUACAGUAGAAAGACCGUGGAGCAGCAAUUCUUUACAGUUCAAAGAGCGCGGCGCAACUGGAACAUUAGAAUGAAUUCAUUGGAGUGGAGAAGACUAUUAAGAACUCUGAUUUUGGUGAGAAAGCUGACUAAGAAGUUAUCAGCUAGAAGUUGUUUACAAAUUAGGUGGUGGCCUUUUUCUUGGAUUUGCCGGGUAGCUGUUAUUUUUUAAAAGACGAGCAUGGCCCGCAUGGGUUGGAGCUGGAUUUGGCAUCGGCGUCGCAUAUAGGACAUGUGAAAAAGAUUUGAAUCCCAUGAAAAUUUAAAUAAACCAUUUAUUAUUGA